GAGCAGCUGUAUGGGUGCUGUGAAUCAAACUGGGGUCCUCGACAAAAACUGCCAGUGCUUUUAAACACUGACCCAUCUCUUUAGCCUUCAGUUUCUUUUGUCACAGUUAUGAAAUGAAUGACAAGAAGCACCUCAGGGUGAGAAGGGUUUAUUAUGGCUCAGGGUUUGAGGGUACAGCCCAUCAUGGUCUGGGAGUCAUGGCAGCCAGAGCCUGAGGAAGAUGAAUGCUGGUACUUGGCUGGCUGCUUUUUUGCGCACCCCAGAACUCCAGCCUGUGUACUGUGCCACCCACACUUAAGGGUAGUCUCACCUCAGUCUAGAAAAUUCCUCAGACUUGCACAGAGAUUCAUCUCCAAGAUAACUCUGGAAUCCAGUCAAGUUUCCAAUAUUGACCAUUACAAUAAUGUCCAGUUACUAACCUCCUGGCGAUUCUGGGAUAAGAGCUACAGUCCCUGGGCCUCUCUAACUGGGUUCUCACCCUUGGUCCAUCUUAGGGACCGAAGGACUGUUUUCCUGAGCUUCUGGCAAUAGAGCCUUAGCAGCUCUCCAAUGCAUCGAUCUUCAAAACUGAACUCAGCUUUCCCCAG
rnacentral:lncRNA from 1 species